GGCGGGUGUAGCCGAGAGGCUUAGGCGCUCGCCUGCAGAGUGGAUCUACGGGGGUUCGAAUCCCUCCACCCGCUUC
rnacentral:tRNA from 1 species